UCAGGUUGUUACACUACCCUGAACAUCCCCCAAUCCUGUCUGGUCUCAGAAGCUAAGCAGGAGCAGGUCUGGUUAGUACUUGGAUGGGAGACCACCUGGGAAUGUCGGGCACCUGCC